AACAAACAGUAAAGAGACAAUGAAACUAAGUGAUUUAAUAUAU
rnacentral:guide_RNA from 1 species